rnacentral:lncRNA from 1 species
AUAUCACAGAGCCAGCCCCUCAGGCUUCAUAAAUAGUGUUUUAAGGAUGCAUUGACGAGAAUUGACAUUUAGUGAGAGUUCAUCCUCUGCCCGACAUUGCUAUUAAUAACCUGAGUUCUCCCGUUGAAUGAAUGGAGUCUGGAGUCCCAACUGCCCAGUCGUUAUUAGAUACACAUUGGGAAGAUGAGGACGUUUUUUCAGAGGAGAUGAGGGGCAUGCCCACAAUGACUUCGCUAAACUGGAUAGGGAGAGAGUGGAAGGGAGAUGAUUUUAGCUGAGGAACUGGCGUCUGAGGAAGGGAAGGUUAGGUAUGGGUGGAGCAGCAACUGCAGUGCAGUCUAACGGUAGGCUAAAAGAAACCUGGAUAGUAGGAACAUCAAGCUACGAUGGGACCUGGCUUCUGAACACAGUGUCAUUUACCAAGCGAGGGUGAUGUAAGAGAAGGACGCAUGAGUGAAUCCACUGACAACGGUCCCAGAGGCUGCUGAUGGAGGCCCGAAGAUUCUUCUAGAAGCCAGACAGAGAGAGAGACAGAGAGACAGAGAGAGAGAAAACAGAUAAAUAUCCCCAUUCUCCCUCCAUCAGCCCACCCUGGUGUAAUGUGUCAUAAAUAAUCUUGCAGAGGUGAGAGGACAGACCCAAAGCUACUGUGGUGAAUUGCUACUGUGGAAUUGCUGGCGUACUGGCAGUGAUCAAUACUGAAUGUCCACCUGACACUAGGUGCUGUGUUAGUGUUUCCCUCUGCCUAUCCUGCAGAGAUAGGAACAAGGACAAAAGACCGGAGAUUCUGAAACCUGCAGGGACUUAGUGGGUGUGGGGCUGAUUGCACACUGGCUGCACUGUGAGUCAGCACCUGGGAAAUGCAGUCAUUCAGUUAUCCGAGGACUCACUCAUCUGCAACCUGGCUCCACGCCAGGGGACAGAUAGCAGGCUCAGACUUUGGAUUAUUAUCAUUCCAAAGAAGACAGAAAUGAUUUGUUUACAAGGAUUUACAAGUGGAUCAAACCUGUGUGCUUUUUCAAUAAACAUUCUGUUUUUGUUUUUUAAUAUAGUAAGAACAGACCUGCUGCACACAGGCUGCUGAGAUUUCUAAGGGCACCAUCCUAGAGGCUGGCCAGGCUGAGACAGGGCUAACGAGGAAGCUGAGCUUGGCUGAAGAUGCCCUUCUGCUUCGUGGCAUAGGACGCAGCCAAUCUUGGGUGGGGACCCGGCCUUUCUAGUCUCCUGUCUGUGAAAGCAUCUGCUUUCAAGUGUUGAGAGGAGCUGGGAAGAGCAUUUCUUUCCUGAUGAGGGAUGCUGGUGGCGGCUAGAGUACAUACAACUUUGUCAUAAAUUUGUGAUACACUGUGUAGAGGUCUUGCGCAUUCCCAACAUCUCUUUAAAAUACCAUAUGACGUGCUGUUGAGAUACCGUGUCAGGCUCAUUCUCUGUAUUCUGCCCCCUCUCUCAAGCCCUAGAGAGCACACAAUCUCUCAGUGGGACCACUGUCAAACCAGCACCUCCAGGCUGUGUUUCCAAAUACCCCUUCUCUGAAUUCCAUAUUGGACUUUUGUUUUUCAAGGUCUUGUCAUGUAGCCCUGAUUGGCCUGGUAC